GUCCAGACUCCUACGGGAGGCAGCAGUGAGGAAUAUUGGUCAAUGGGCUUACGCCUGAACCAGCCAAGUCGCGUGAGGGAAGACUGCCCUAUGGGUUGUAAACCUCUUUUGUCAGGGAGCAAUUGGCGCUACGUGUAGCGUUAUCGAGAGUACCUGAAGAAAAAGCAUCGGCUAACUCCGUGCCAGCAGCCGCGGUAAUACGGAGGAUGCGAGCGUUAUCCGGAUUUAUUGGGUUUAAAGGGUGCGUAGGCGGGACGGUAAGUCAGCGGUAAAAAUGCGGAGCUCAACUCCGUCGAGCCGUUGAAACUGCCGUUCUUGAGUGAGCGAGAAGUAUGCGGAAUGCGUGGUGUAGCGGUGAAAUGCAUAGAUAUCACGCAGAACUCCGAUUGCGAAGGCAGCAUACCGGCGCUCAACUGACGCUGAAGCACGAAGGCGUGGGUAUCGAACAGGAUUAGAUACCCUUGUAG
rnacentral:rRNA from 1 species